CAAGCUCAUGUUGGGGCCCAACCCAACUCGUAAGGACCUCCUAGGCUGGCUGCUCAGCCACGGUGUACCCCGGGAGCAAGUAGACAGACAGCCCACCAAGGUACUCCUAGAACUCUACAUCAAAGAAGCCAAGCGCAGUCGCGGCCACCCCAACUAUGGGCUGAACGAGGAGCAGCCCCCACCACCCCCUUACUCCGACCAGGCCUGUGGGGAAGAGCAACCGGUGCGUCAUGACUAAGUCCUGGACUGACGUCAAGAGGACACUUACACCCCAGGGUCGAAGGUGGGAAAGUGAAUUGCAGAGAGGCUGUCUGUAACCCAGGUGACUAGGAAGCAGCUUGGGGAGCGCCCAAGUGGACAUUCCCAUCCUAUAGCACUUAAUGCCAAGCUCGGUGGCCCCAAAGAGAAGUGUGCAUGUUCCUAGCCACACCAUCCAUAUGGAAAGUGAGCCACAGGUGGCUAUUGGUUGUGAAUCUAGGGUGCUUAUGGCCCUAGAAUUAAUCCCCCUGAGUUGAAGCUUAAGGCCAUGCUAAGAUGUGUGGCCACAUCAGGGUCCCCACCCCUCUGCCUCCACAUGGACCCCAAAGCACUACAUACAGGCCAUCUUGAAUUUUUUACUUUUUCAAUGCAACACUUACAUAGUAUUUUAGGUAUAGGCCGUACUUCCAUGGCCUUUUACUGGAUGUUUGACACUUUAGGGCCAGUCUCCCUAGUGUAAAGGCUUAACAUUGCAAACUUUUCUAAUGCAGCAUUUUUACUUUAUAUUUUAUUUUGAGCUUAUGUGACACUUUGGUUUUGGGGAGAGGAGAACCCCCUUUUGUAAAGAUUUUGCUUUGGGGACCUUGUCCCCGUUUUCUUUUAACCAUGCCCUUCCCUUUUGAAGCACCUUCCAGCCGGGUCUGGUCUCCCUGGCUGCACAGAUGGCCCCUGGCCAAUGCAGAUCUGGAUUUAGUGGAGGGGUGAGGUGGGCAGCCCUGGAACUUCUGCCUUCGUGAGUUUCUAUUAAAUGGCUGGUUCAUUGCCC
rnacentral:lncRNA from 1 species